rnacentral:lncRNA from 1 species
UUUCCAAAUCAAUAUCUUCAAACAUGACGAAAAAAAGUGUGGAAAACUGAUUGUUUAAGUGACUUAUAAGGACCAUACCUCUGCAAAAAAUUAUCACACCAGAACAAAAUUCAAUCUGUAACUUAUGUCAUUAUAAAACGAUACACAAAAUAUCAAAUCAAUAUCUUCAAGCCUUUAGCAAAAGUGUGGAAAACUGAUUUGUCGUUCUGACAGAUGGACAGAUGUAGUGCAAACCUUAGGUCUCUUUUUUCUUCAUUGGUAGGUGACUAAAAAGA